GGGGGAAUAGUGUAGGGGUUAUCGCGUCCGCUUUGCAUUGUCUCACAUGCUUGCGGAAGGUCCGGGGUUCAAUUCCCCGUUCCUCCA
rfam:Claviceps purpurea 20.1, WGS project CAGA01000000 data, contig: scaffold00013